rnacentral:lncRNA from 1 species
UUUUAAUUUAAAGAAUUGUAUCUUUUAGAAUGCUUAGGGCAUAUCUUUAAUAUCAAUUUUCAUUUAACCAUUCCAUUAUUUCUUUGUUUAUAUUCAAAUUUCUGUCAUUUUAUCUAUUUUUCCUGAAUAACUUUACUUAACAUUUUGUGGUUUGGAUUGAAGAUGAAUAUGCACCUUUUAUGAGACUUAAAAGUACCUUAUUUUAAAAUGUAUUUUCACAGAGUGAAGAAAUCCAGAUGAACAGUUUUGUUUGCCUUUCCAGCAUUUAAAGCCCCCACUGUACAGAUUUCUGACUUAGAUGCUUCUGACCAGAAGACUUUGGUGACUCUGUGCUCUGCCUCUGUCUAUAAACUUCUCCCCUCACCCCAUCCCGAAUACCCUUAUAUCUGCUCCUUAUUUGAGGUUUCAGAUGUAAUAGAUUUGUUUGCAAUCAAUGGAUGGUAGGUGUAUAAUGCCUGUGACCGCCUGUGCAGCCAGGAGAAGAGAUGAAAACUGAAAUGCUCCUGCAUGCUAUGACAGCUGGUAGCUGCUUAGAAGAGAGAAGCUAGGGAAAUUAAAUUGAAGUUUAUCCGCAGCAAGAGGACAUAUCCGAAGAACAUUCUGGAACAACUUUGAAAUAUGAAUUCCCCUCCAGGCAUAAGGCAUUCCACACCUUUGGCAGAAACCAGUUACCUGGCUGAGAAUGCAAGGAUAAUUGGCUAUAAAAGUUCAAUGCCAGAUGAAAAGAGAAUUCCAGAGAUGCUGAGAUGAUGAAUAGUGGAGUAUCAAGGAACGCAGCCAUCUUUCCUUCCCUCUCUGAGCUGGUUAGCUUUAACUGUCAACUGGACACAACCUAGAAACACUUGGGAGGAAGUCUUACUGAAGAAUUAUCUUUAUUAGAUUUGCCUGUGAACAUGUCUGUGUGAGGUUGUCUUGAUUGUUAACUGACAUAGGAAGACUGAGUCCACUGUGGGUGGCACCACUCACUAGAUCAGGGAUCCAGAACAAUGUAAGAGCAGGAGUUAGUAGAGAGCAAGCAAGGACCCGUAUGCAUAUUCUCUCUGCUAUGGAUUGUGGAUGUGAUGUUUCAAUUUGAUGCCUUCAAUUCCCUGGAAUAAUAGAUUGAAGCUUGAAAUUGUGAGCCAAAUAAAACCUUUCUUCCCUA